rnacentral:RNase_P_RNA from 1 species
GAUGCAAGACAACUUAUCGCUUCCCGACUUGUCGGGGGGAGGAAAGUCCGGGCAACAUAGAGCAUCGUACUUCCUAACAGGAAGGUCUUGAAGCAGUUAAAUGUUUCAGGAACAGAAAGUGCCACAGAAAACAGACUACCACUGAAAUCACGAAAGUGUACUUCAGGGGAAAAGGUGAAAAGGUGAGGUAAGAGCUCACCGCUCGAAUGGUGACAUUGGAGGCAUGGUAAACCUUACGAGUUGAAAAGCCAAAUAAGUGACGUCCAUUCAUUUGGAAUAGCUGCUCGCUAUUGUCCGCCAAUUGGCAGACAGCGUUACGGGUAGGCUGCUAGAGUCCGUCAGUGAUGACGAGGCCAGACAAAUGAUAGGUGCCCUGAAGGAACAUGUGUCUUUCAGGGAACAGAACCCGGCUUAUCGGCUUGCAUUUUUA